rnacentral:tRNA from 1 species
GGUUGUGUUUCAGUGGUAGAGCGCUCGCUUUGCAUGUGCGAGACCCUGGGUUCAAUCCUCAGCACCA